CCUACGGGAGGCUGCAGUGGGGAAUAUUGGUCAAUGGGCGAGAGCCUGAACCAGCCAUCCCGCGUGAAGGAAGAAGGCGCUAUGCGUUGUAAACUUCUUUUUCAGGGGGAUAAAAUAUUGUAUGUAUACGAUACUGAAGGUACCCUGAGAAUAAGCAUCGGCUAACUCCGUGCCAGCAGCCGCGGUAAUACGGAGGAUGCGAGCGUUAUCCGGAUUUAUUGGGUUUAAAGGGUGCGUAGGCGGAAUAAUAAGUCAGUGGUGAAACCCUGCAGCUUAACUGUAGACUUGCCAUUGAUACUGUUUUUCUUGAGUAUGGUCAAGGCAGGCGGAAUGUGUAAUGUAGCGGUGAAAUGCUUAGAUAUUACACAGAACACCGAUAGCGAAGGCAGCUUGCUGGGCCGUUACUGACGCUGAUGCACGAAAGCGUGGGGAUCGAACAGGAUUAGAUACCCCUGUAGUC
rnacentral:rRNA from 1 species